GAUGAAGAACGUAGCGAAAUGCGAUAAGUAAUGUGAAUUGCAGAAUUCAGUGAAUCAUCGAAUCUUUGAACGCACAUUGCGCCCCCUGGUAUUCCGGGGGGCAUGCCUGUUCGAGCGUCAUUUCACCACUCAAGCCUCGCUUGGUAUUGGGCAACGCGGUCCGCCGCGUGCCUCAAAUCGACCGGCUGGGUCUUCUGUCCCCUAAGCGUUGUGGAAACUAUUCGCUAAAGGGUGUUCGAGAGGCUACGCCGUAAAACAACCCCAUUUCUAAGGUUGACCUCGGAUCAGGUAGGGAUACCCGCUGAACUUAAGCAUAUCAAUAAGCGGAGGA
rnacentral:misc_RNA from 1 species